GGGCAUGAAACUGCAUCGGAAAGCAGUCGAUGAGCGACUGUCUCACACCAAUCCAGGCCAAUCAUUCUUAGCAAGGCAACGACAAGCUUCUGCUGCAAGAAGAUCUCACCCUGGGUCUGCAGCAAGAAGACUAGACUCCGAUCAGCAUCGUCUUGCAGACACGCUUGCUACAUGGACAUAUAUGUGAUGUGCUACUACAUGCUGUGUCAAAAUAUUUGUUUACAUGCUGCUACAAUAUAUCUAUCCCAUAUUUUAUUUCAAAUUUAUCAUUAGAAAUAGUCUUUUUUUUUCUUUUUCAAGUGAAAUGUGUGGAAUAAGUGUAGUGUAAGUGUCAAAGUAUGUUAGUCCAGAAGGUUAUUUGGAGAAAACUGCACAUUCGACUUAAUGCGGAUAUAUCUAUUCAUUCAUCAGUCGCAAAUCAGAAUUCUAGAAGUUAAUACUUUUAUGAUAUUGGCAUCCCUAAUUAAAGAUAAUAGAGCCAUUUCCUCACGCUUUUGCAGACUGCAUUAGUUUUAUGGCAACUCAAGUUAUUUUCGAUGAAUUCCAAGUUUUAUAAUUGUGUUGGUAAAUGUCUAUUUAUUCAUCAGUUGCAAAUUAAAAUUCCUAAUUAAAUACAAAACUUUCAGGAUUUCGGCAUCCUUAAUUAGGGUAAUAGAGCCAUUUUCUCAUGCCGUUGCAUAUUGAUCAGGGCUAUCAUGUAUAUUUUGCAUUCGUUUUUUAACAACCCCAAUUUUUCUCAAUGAAUUCAAAGUUUUAUGAUUAUGUUGGCUAAUGUAUAUUCAUUCAUCAGUUGCAAAUUGCAAAAUUCAAAAAUAUGAAACUUUCAAGUUAUGGACCUUUCCCCGAGCAUCGACUUUCUUCGUGACAUUGGCCAAUCAGCAAAUGACGUAACAAUGCCCACUUUUCACAUCCGCUCAGGCAGAUUUUCAGGCGUGAUUGUGAACAUCACCUCGUUUUCACGUUUUUGAACUCUAUUCGUUAGUUUUCAGUUGUGUUUUGGAAAUUUAAAUAUAAAUCAGAUAAUUCAACGAUCACUAUGUCUUUUUAGAAGCUUUAAUUUAUUCGCAGUAAUAGAGAAUUGGUGUAGAACUAGCUGUAAUAGACUAGUCUAAAAUUUCUUACCGGUACUUUUGAAAAAUUGUUCAUUGUACGCGAUGAAUCAUAAUAAUGGUUUGAAACAAAUACCCCAUUUUACAGGGGCCAACUCGCGUAACCACUCUUAAAAUGAGCCCCGAAAAUUUUGCAAUGGUAAAGUAUAAGAAGAAUUUUUCGGGUUCAAAGGUCGGGGAAAGGUCCAUUGAUCAAUGGCCAUCAUAAGAUAUUAGUUUUUUACCAACUCAGUUUUUUCAUUGAAUUCCAAGUUUCAUAAUUAUGUUGACCAAACCACAUAGAAAAGAAUUGAUUUUUCAAAAAAAGGUACAAAUUCAAAUUAGGAGCUUCUCCCCCUCAUCUGAAUGUUCUUUUGUUGAUUUGUUGGCAUGUUACAUUUAUUGUUUUGUCAUAAUCAUUUUAUUGAUACAUUCCAACAAUAUAGCUAGUAACAUGGUGAGCCCCAUCUUCAACGAAAUGCCACGACUCCUGUCUCCCCGGCCCUGUGUGGAACCUUUUUUAAUUUUAGUCCAAAUUUUUGACUCUGAUUUUUAAGUUUUAUCGGUUUGGAGACUUACCGGAAGUUCUCAUAUAAAUGUCAUUAUUCCUAUUUAGCUAAAAACACAAAAUAGCAAUACUUGUCUUUACAAAAUGACUCCUAAUUUGGGAAAAUGCAAUUUAAUCAAUUUGCGAAUAUUUUUUUGUUUAUAUAAUUAAGUUGUUUUAAAACGAAAUAAUUAUUUUUCGCUGCUUUUGUUGCAUGUUAUCAUGAUUUUCAGUUAUCAUUGGUUUCCCUCAUUCGUGAACUUUGAACCAUGACCUUUGAACCGAACAAAAUUGUUUACAGAUAUCCAGAGCCUGAUAUGACUUUCAUUGCCUGAGUUUGAAGUGGCUUCGACAUGAUGCAUUGUGGCAUUCACUUGGUGCCUCAUGGCAUGAGAAAUGUGCCACAUGGACGAAUAAAUGUCGGAAUUGUGUUUUUUUUACAAUAUGGCACCUGCAUUUUUAAUAUUUUUCUUCUCAUUGUGUUUUUUGUUGAUUUCUUAUAUUUUAGGGAAUUGUAAUUAUGAAAUCUAUUACUAACUAUAAUAUGAUAAUGUUGCGGCAUUUGCUGUUUGAAAAACCCAUUAUAAUACAACCAAAUAUUACCGUACU